UACGUAGGGUGCAAGCGUUGUCCGGAAUUAUUGGGCGUAAAGAGCUCGUAGGCGGCUUGUCGCGUCGGCUGUGAAAACCUGGGGCUCAACCCCGGGCCUGCAGCCGAUACGGGCAAGCUAGAAUUCGGUAGGGGAGACUGGAAUUCCUGGUGUAGCGGUGAAAUGCGCAGAUAUCAGGAGGAACACCUGCGGUGUAGACGGCUUUCUGGACCUUGUUGACGCUGAGACACGAAAAGCGUGGGGUAGCAAACAGG
rnacentral:rRNA from 1 species